AGGACUGUAGCUCAGUGGUAGAGCACUUGCCUAGCAUGUAUGAAGUCCUGGGUUCAAUCCCCUAGUACUA
rnacentral:tRNA from 1 species